GUGGAGGUGUUGAUUUUUCCCCAAAUGAUUGACGACGAUUAUAAUGCGUGAUUGUUCUCUUUCUAAGCAUCCAAGCCGGUGUUCUGAUCCAU